rnacentral:tRNA from 1 species
UGGGGCGUGGCCAAGCGGUAAGGCAUGGGACUUUGGAUCCCAGAUUCGUAGGUUCGAAUCCUACCGCCCCAGCCA